CACCAGAGUUCGUCCCCAAGAUGUCUCUCUCUCUCUCUCUCUCUCUCUCUCUCUCUCUGUAUCCGUCUAAUAUUUCAAUGGAUCAUCGUUUACAAACGGGCGUCAUCCGUAAACUGAUUGUCUCACAUUAUCAGGUAUGAAAGCGCUCAAUUUUUUCCAAAUUGUAUGCGAUUCGAAUUGUGCAAUCAAUUUCAUCAUUUCGGGUUACCUAAUGUAAUUCAGGACGAUCUUCUUUGUCGGUGCUUGGGGUUUUUUUUUUUCGUUGCAAUUUUUGUUGAAAAGUGCAAGCCCAUGGAUUGACGGAAUAUAGACUGUGACAAAGAAGGUGUUAUGAGCUGCUAAGUAUGAAAUUGCAGAGAAACAAUGGUGGAAGAGAAGAGUGAAAACAAAAGAGAAAUUAAUAGAAAUUGAGAAGAAAGAGAUGGUCUCAACGUUACAAUUCAAUGAAUGCCUUUGCUCCUCUCACGGCCUCUCUCUAUAACAGAAAACCACCUAACAACUUUUCCCGCCAAUCCUAACAAAUUGCUAAUAACUAAUUUGAGUGCGUAUCACCCUGUGUCUGUAGCUGAACUCUUGCAAGUUGCAAUGCACCACCACCAAAGAGUAAAACAUUUUACGAUCAGCCGCCAAAAUUUCGACAGCGACAACAAUCAUUUGAGCACAAGUGAACAAGACCCCAGACAGUCCCAUCCCACAAUUGCUCUAGUAACAUGGGAAUGUCCCAAAUUAUGAAUAGACUGCCAAUGGAUUGAGAGAGAAACACCUCGCAGUCGAAUUGGUUAAAAUUUUCCACCUCACUUUAGUCUUGAACACGCCAAAAAGAAAGAGUUUAUUCCUAGGAAUAAAAGAACAAACCUCCCUAACUUUGUUUUAAGGGAUCAUCUAGACCCCUUAUACUUCCACAAGCCAAUCUUAGUCAUUUAACCUUGGAGGCCUUCCUACCCGAAGAAACAAAGUGCCAACAAAAGUGAGAACAUCUUCACAGAAACCAGAAUCAUCCCCAAUAUGUAACUGAGGAAUAUCCCUAACAACCAAUCCAGAGGACUUCCCUACCAUCAAAGACGAAGUAUCAACCACAGAAGAAGUAUCAUCAUGGCCCUUAACAGAAGAACCAUCAGUUACAAGACAAGGAUUAUUCAUAUCAUCCACCCAGCUUCUUGUGCCAUCAAGGGUGAAUAUUUAUUCCUCAGCAAAACUAUCGCUUAUCCCUUCUUUAGAUGUAACUCUAUGGAAUAAGUGUUUGGAUAAGUUCCCGUAUGUGGGAAUUUGGAAGUGUUAUUGUCUUGUAUUGAUUAGCUGCUGGAUCUUUGGCUGUGGUCGGGUAUCUUAGAACAGAGCUCAAUUGUGAUUUGAGCAUAGUUGUUAAAAGCCUACGAUACAAUGAACGUAUCCUUUGACUUGUAUCGUCUAUUUCAAAAGCUAUACCUAUCCUACCCCGUAUCCUUUUUGUAUAGAAAUUCUACGAUACAAUGAGGUAUCCUAUGAUAUAUACGUGUAUCCUGAUUCAGUACGUAUCUAAAGAUUACUUUUUUUUUGCUCAGCAUAUCUAAAGAUUACGUAAUGGGAAAAAGUCGUUAACCGAUUUAUGCAAAUUCUUGGGGCAAACUUUUGGCUUUCUGAUUGGAAAUAGUUGCUUUGUCGGUUUUAAUCUUUAGGUGGCAGUUAUAUUUAUUCUUGGUGAUACCUACCACCAAAUUUGGCUUCUAAUGUUGGUAGUGGAGUUGCUUGCUCUUUUUUUUUUUUACUAAUGGUUCCGAAUGCUAUAGUAAUUAGUUACAAAAGCUGUUUUUUCCCAUCGGCUUAAUUUCUUGUGAUGAAGGAUUACGCUCUUAGGGAAAGUGGAAGCCUACUGCAGUUGUGUGGAGGUGGGAGGAAGUAUGACAAACCAAGUAGGAUUUGAACCUGGUGAUUCUGGGAAACAAGGUGGGUAGAGAGAGGUUGACAUGGAGACAAAGGAGGUAGGACACUCAUGAAUGCUUUUUGUUGGCAUGUGCUUGGGUUGUUUAGAGGACAACUUGGAGCUUUUGCCAGGCCCGACCUUUGUAAUCAGAGAACGGUAGUAAUACAGCGAACUUCAUUUUGGAAUUCACCUACGUUCCAAAUUUGAUAAAUUUAAUGGGAAGUUGGCAUACUUUCAUACUUCCUGUCUGGUGGCAUACCAUCGUGGCAGCAGAAUGUUGCGAUGAUGGGGUUAAUGCAUAGAAAAAGGUGGUGGAUGUUUUGUAAGAUGUCUAUUAUUGUCUACCCUUUUUCAACAUUGAAAUACUUUACAAAGUUUGGUUUAAUGGUAAAUUGGUGUAUCUCAAUCAUUCAGAGCUGUUUAAUAGUUUUGGCUUUGUAAGAGUGCUAACUGCUGAGAUUAAUCCUUCAACUUAUCUUGUACAGUUUCGGUGUGAAAUUCUCUCUUCAUUGAGAAGAGAAAUAUCCAUAUGUCGAAGGAAGAAAAAGGAUAAAAGAACUGAUAAUUUUUGUUUGCGAGUUUAAAUUUUACGUGGAAAGUGGAAAUACGUUUCUUCCUGCAUAGCUGUGUAGUUUUAUUAUACACCAUAUUACUUUAUCUCAGUUUAUAUGAGGUUGCUCAUUUCUCAUUGUUUUUCCUUUUCCUGUUUAUUUGAUGAUGUUUACACAUAUCGAUAAAGGAAGAUACACAUAAGAAAGAGGUAACACUAUUUUCUAUCAACUGUAUCCAUCCGGAUUCUGGACUAUUCAUCCUUCAAGCCUGAGAAACGGACCACUGAUUCCAGUCCAAAUGAAGGGCACUUCCAUAAAGUAGUGGAAGGGAUAGAGAUCUAUAACAAGCGUGCAUGUGAAUCCCAUUUUUGCUUUUGUAGAAGCUGAUAUGGGGAAACUUUAUAUUGCCUCAGAAGCCACUGAUGUUGUAUUCAGGGCCUAUGUUUAUUAGCCAAAUGCAAGCGCAUCACCGAGUUACUAGGGGAAAGGAGUCAGUUGUCCGCAAAGGUACUCUGAAGACCAUUCAAUUAAUGACAGAGCGGAGACAAGGUAACAAGAUGAUGACAAAACUCUCAGGGUUGGAGCAAUUUUUGCUGGAUCCUGAACCAUUGGCAUCAGAGCUGCAGAAGAAAUUUGCUUGUAGUACAUCAGUGGCAAAUUACCAGGGGUAGCGAAGCCCUUGACUACUUUAAAGAAGACCCGACGUUGUUUAAUGUGGAUAUCAAGAGCAAAUGACGCAUUGGCCCGAGCAACCUGUUAAUAUCAUCAUUAAAUGGCUAAAGGAUCGCCGCCCUUCUUUACUUGUGGCUGAUUUUGGCUCUGGGGAUGCACGCCUUGCAAGAAAUGUCAAAAAUAAAGUCUUCUCGUUUGAUCU